rnacentral:lncRNA from 1 species
GGAUAACAUUUGAAAUGUAAAUAAAGAAAUAUCUAAUAUAAAAAGAAAGAAAGAAAGAAAGAAAGAAAGAAAGAAAGAAAGAAAGAAAGAAAGAAAGAAAAAGUCAAGGUGAAAGAAAGGACCAAGCAGGCACCUUUAUUUCUGUGACUUUUGAGACACAAAGCAAGGCAGAAGAAUAUGAUGAAGAUUCUCUUAAUGUACAAAGACAUUAAAUUGCCAUGUGAAAGAAAGCAGUAGCUGAAAACAAGCUGGGAUCCCCUCUCAACCUCCCCCCCCACUCUCUCUCAAGUAUGUAUACACACACAAACAAACACACACACACAAAUACCUGGCUUAUAAUAUAGCAUAAUCAGAAAAAAGUAAGUGCUAUGAGAAUGACCCAACUCUUGAAAGUCUUCAUCCUUUGUAUUGCCACAGUGAUUAGACCCACAGCGAUGAAAAAAAAAAAAAAGUUAGAGGGUGGUAUGCAUAGUUGGGAGAGAGAAAUUGGGGCUACACAAAAGAAAAUAGAUUUUACUUAAAAGGAAAUAUGAGUUCCUUCUGGAGCCAAAUAUUAGAAAGCAUGGUCCAGGAACACAGACUCAGGUGACCCUAAAUACUGUGUUCCAGUAUUACAGUAACAGUUUCAUGAAGUUUUCUAUAGUGACAGACAAAGGAAAGCAUAAAUCAAGAUGCCUUUCAAGUCCGUUGGUGGAAAUACCAAGCAGACGAUCUGUAAUAGAGUAGGGAAACCCUUGACUAUAGGUAGACUAAUUAGUAGUCUAGGCCUUUAGGUUUGUGGAACUUAGGGAUGUGUUUCCAAAAAUGUUUACUUAAAGUCAAAGAAGAGUUAGUAAUUCAUAACUAUUAGAAGACUAACAACCCAAGAUAAUUUGGCCCUGGUCCUAUUCUCCACAACCACUGAAGUUCUAGUCAGUCAGCCAGCUUCACACAAUGUUCAGUGUGAGUGUAUUUUUCUUUCUGAGAACUUCAAAACCAUUGAGCUUCUAACCUUUUUCCCAUCUCUGGACCACCUCCUUCUUUGGGAUUUCUCUCCUUCUUAAUAAACUGUCUCUGCUUCCAUCUCUGUCACCUCAUCUCUGUCCAAUUUAUUGUUCUGGCAUACAGCACCUAGAAAUCUCAGCAGGGGUCCCCAACUAUAACAAAAGCUUUACAGAUAGAAGUAAGGACAGGUAUAAUUUCUCAAGUCAGCUCAUUGACUGAACUGCCAAAUGAAAAUAAAGCUCUUCCACCAUCAAGUGACCGUUUAUAUAUACUUUACACAUGACCGAGAACUUGGCCUAAGUUAUAGUGGUUUGGAGUGUGUGAUACACUAAAUGCCAUUGCUUGGCUUAUUCUAGCAGUCCUCUGAGAUGUAGGUUUUUUUUUUUUUUUAAAUCCACACUGUCAUCAUUGUUAUAUUUCAUACAAUAACUUUUUGGCCGACACCAAUCUUCUUGUAUAGUAGCACUACAUGAAUAGAGUGCUCUGUGCAAGAAACAAGAGCUCAGAUACUUGCAAUUUGGCCUGUAAAGAGGAAGAAUGGACCUGAGUAUCAAAUACUUUUAUCAACUAAGGAAAGAAAAUGGUGAUGCCAAUGGUAUUGCAUCUUAGACAUGGUUUGGCUUUGUUUCUUUCAUAUAUUCUUACAGUUCAAAGUCUUAUAAAUAUUGUAAGGCAUUGAAAACCACAGACAUCUCUGGAUCCAAAUUAUUAUCAAUUUAUGGAGUUCAAAAUACUUUCAUUGUAUCAUUUAUAUAGGCAUUCUGCUUGUUUUGUUUAAUUGGGUUUAUUUGUUUCUUUUAAACUAAAUAUUAUGGAGUUCUCUUGUGGAAAUCUGAAACUCUACAAACUAUACUUCAAAUGAGUCUUUCACAGGACUCUUUGAUAAUAAUGGAGGGCUUUCUUGGUUAUUAAAUAAAGAAAAGGCCUACUGUUGGCACAGUAUUCACUGAACUGCACGCUAUCACGAUGAUUCUACAUACCAGAUGGCAAGAGUAAAUUAAAUUUACACAGCAAAACCCAAAUUCUAACCACAGACUAGAAGAAGACAUAGGCAAUAAAAAAUAUGCUCCAUAAUGAAGUAUCGAUAUGCCAUCCCAGAGGGUAGUAAUCAUGUGCCUAAUUAGUAGGUUAAAUGUGACAUGGUAAAGGACAUAGCAGGUGAUACAUUUAAGUGUGUCAGGUGGAUGGGACACAUGGCCAUUUUUGAAAAUAUGAGCUGAGGCUGGACUUUGCAGAUGUGAGGGAGGAAGCAUUGGAACCCUCUGAUGAGAAAGAUGUCCUAGAGAGAGGGAAGAACAAGACAAGACACUCGACCUUGAAAGUUUAGCUUUGGAAUACAGCUAGGGUUUAAUGUAGAGAAGUUGAUAUUUGGGGUAAUGGAAUAAUAAUUUUUCAACAAAAUCUGUAUACUUUACCUUCACAUAUUUGUAAAUAAUGAGAAGAAUAUUUAAAGAUCCAUAGGAACCAUAGGCAAGGAUUAGAAAUGGUACAUCCUUAGUCUCCAAGUUUGAAUUCAGAUCAAGAACUAGUUACUGUCCUAAAGUAUACACAACAAAGAGGGACAUCACUUGUCAUAUGAGACCCCAAACUCUUCAUAGUUGCCAUGGAACUCUUUUUUCUUUGGAUUGAAAUAGGGUUGUACCAUAUAGUUAAGACAGCUAUAAACUCAAGCUCCCCCUGCCUCAGCCUCUCUGCGGCUGGGAUUACAGGCAUCCACCAUCACACAAGUGAUAGAUGAACUCUUAACUAACAAAUAGUCAUGAACCUCAUGUAUACCCAUGGAUGAAACAAAAAAGAAGAUUAAAUUAGCUUGUGUUGAUGUAAGAGCAGUCAACAACUCCAGCUGUAGUGUGAAAUAAUUUUACAACCUUGCCAAUGGAACAAAAUCAUUAGCAAAUAGCUAAACAGCAUCC